ensembl:snoRNA SNORD31 Small nucleolar RNA SNORD31
AAUAGAUUUGAUCUUAUACUGCCCAAGUCUGAAGUCAGUGACUGAGUGGUACAAUCUGAGCUGCA